rnacentral:rRNA from 1 species
UACGUAGGUGACCAGCGUUGUCCGGAUUUACUGGGCGUAAAGAGCGCGCAGGCGGUCGUUCAAGUCGAGUGUGAAAGCCCCCGGCUCAACUGGGGAGGGUCACUCGAUACUGAUCGACUGGAAGGCAGGAGAGGGAAGCGGAAUUUCCGGUGUAGCGGUGAAAUGCGUAGAUAUCGGAAGGAACACCAGUGGCGAAAGCGGCUCCCUGGUCCAGCACCGACGUUCAGGCACGAAAGCGUGGGGAGCAAACAGG